UUGGUGAAUUGCUUUCCAAGGACAGUCCCAACUACUCGUGCCUUCCUCUUUUAGUGUUUUGUAUUCAAACUGUAACAAUUGGGCAGAAAAGUAGAGUGAAAUGCAGCCAACUCUGCAAUAGCAGUGUGUUACAGCCUUCUGUGUGUGAAACCGCAUGGAAAUUUGGAGUUUGAGAAAUAGGUUCGCUUGAAAUGUUUGGCCGGACAUUCUCAACCUUGACUCUGAUCCUCUGCCUCGCAGUGGGUCAGGUGGAUACACAGACAAUUCUUAUCCAAUCCCCUGAAGCUGUGACAGUGACUGAGGGUGGCACAGUGACAAUUCGCUGUGAUUUGCGAAGCAGCAAUGCUGAUUACACUGUGGACAAGUAUGAUCUGCACUGGCACCAUUCACGAGUUGGGCCUAUAAUAUUGACUCAUUAUGUAAACAACCAUGUUUACCGAUCGAGAGGAUUCUCUGAGCGGUUUCAGCUUUCCUGAAAUGUACCCAGUAACAGCUACAUUCUGACCAUCAGAGACCUGAAGCUCACUGACACUAAUACCUACAUCUGUGAGAUUUGGGGGAAGGUCUACGGAAACGGAACCCGCCUGAAUGUAACCAAUCGAACACAGAACAGAGACCAAACAAUGGUUCCUCCUGUUGAGGCAAGGAAAUGGGACACGGCUGUUGGUUUUUGCUGCAUUUUUUCACACAAGGACUUUGAGAAACAGGAGCCACAUCCAGGAGGAACUUCAGUAUCACCAGAACAAUUACAAAUCAAAAUUUGUAACACACAAAAAGUCUCUGUUCCACAACAGGCUAUGACUGAAAAUCAAAGAGAAAUCAAUCAAUUCCUUCUGUUUCAUCCAGACCCUCCCAGAUCCUGAGAUUACUGGGCACUCAGAUCCACCCAGACCCUGUAAUUGCUGGGCACUCAGACCUUCCCAGACCCUGAGAUUACUGAACACUCAGACCCUCCCAGACCCUAAAAUUACUGGUAUUCAGACCCUCCCAGACCCUGAGAUUACUGGGCCUUCAGACCCUCCCAGACCCUGAGAUUACUGGGUAUUCAGACCCUCCAAAAUCCUGAGAUUACUGGGCACACAGACAGUGCAGAAGCUCAACAUGGGGGUGUAAAGUGCAGGAGGCAGUUCAGUCUCUCACUGAGAUUAUGUGGAGCACACUGCCCUCUGCGGCUAUCUCUAGCAUUGUGCAGAAAAACAUCGGGGGUAUUGCGGGAACAUCUUGAAUUCCGAGUUCCCUCUAGGUCCCAACCCAUCCUGAUUUGGAAUCUCAGCAUUUCAUUCCUCAGCAUUGUGUCUGGUUAUUGGAAUUCCCCAGUUAACAGCCAGCACUGAGUCAAUGGAUAACCCUGGGCAGAGCUGAGCUUAAACAGGAUGGGGUAAGUCAUGCCUUAAAUUGGAUACAUUCAUUGUUGGGAAAAAUCAUGAUUAACAGUUUGAUCAUUAAAGUUAGAACAUCCUCCAGAAUAUUGCCUGGGUCUCCGGUCUCGUUGUCACACAAUAAUUCCACUUGGCUAUUGCCUGCCUUCAGUGUGAUUGGUUCUGUUUCUGUUUACAUUGAUGCUUUAAUCUUGCCUGGUCAUCCAGUUUGGGUUGGUUUUAUAUUGCCAGUCAUUUCUGAAUUGUUGCCCUCAUUUUUUCUGCACAGAAAUAUAGGAGGAGGAAUGGAUCAUUCCUUCUUUCUUCCCUCUUAACCCUGUUACCCUUUCUUUGGUCUUUCAAUUCUUACCCCUCCAUGAUUACGCCCUCACCGUUUCCCUUCCCUCCAUGUACUCCCUCCCUCCUUUUGAACUCCCACCGCCACUGUCCUCAAUGUUUUCUUCACAAGUCAUGUCUCACUGUGGGUUUAAUGGCUGACCAUCCUAUGGUCUAAAUGGACGGGGGACAAUCUCAUUUCAGACCCUCACAAUGUAUUCCACUCACCCUGGCUCUUCCCUCUCGCUUCCGCAACCAGCUCCCUCUUCAACGUUGCUUUUCCAGAACUUUCAUUGGUCCAGUAACGUGGACACAAAACCUGAGCCUGAUUGGUGAAAUCUCGGGAUCUCCUGGGACAAGUCCUUGGGAUCUCAUAGGGAUCCAGUCAACGACGGAGAGAGGUACACCGGAUUGGGUCAGUACACACGUUGAUGAAGCAGCUCAUUGGCUUCACUGUGACGCUCAGGAAUGUUGGACCAGGCUGGGGGACUGGGGAGUUCAAGGACCAGGGUUUCCCCUGCCCUGGCCUUGUUUUAUGAACCUUCCCACUUCUGAUCCAGUUGCCAAUGGCCUGGAAAAUUCUAGGCCUUUGGGAGUGUAAAUGGAUGUGAUGUGCUCUUGUGUAGCUCAGGCCUGGAGUGGGUCUUGAUGCUGCUGGCUCAGGGACCACAGCUGGAACACAGAGCUCUCCGCUUUCUGUUCCAGCACACUCACAUCGAACCUGAUCCCAGCAGCUACUUCCCUCCAGAAUGACACAAACUUGGCAAGAGAGUGGAAGUUAAACUGCAGGCAGCUGCCUCAGACAAGGUGUACAACUGAACGAGGAGGGGAAUUGGAGCCUGUGACCGCAGACUAUUUGACAGCUCACCACAAGAGGAAGGAUUUGAUGCCAUGACUGUGGCUGCAGUUCAGUCUCCACAACUGCUCUGAAACAUUUAGCCCCGUAUCCACUUUCAGGGACAAUUCUCUGACACUGAGCUGAUGGUGAACAGUAAAUGCAGAUCAGUAAAUCAUCAGCUGCAUGAGGAUACAGCUCCCUUCAACCAGAUAACUGCCUGACAAUCCUUUAUGUUCUUUACACGCUGCAAACGUAUCAUUGACCAAGAACGUCAGUCAAUUCUGAGUUGCUGAUGGUCCUGUGUUAACAUCAAGAUCUCUUGGGUCAAUCCUCUCAGGGAGCUUCCUGGAAUGUGCGCCAAAGCCGUCAUGACUGC